rnacentral:ncRNA from 1 species
CGCACGAUGCAAAAGAUCAAAGAACGUCUGUGAGGAACGGGAAAACCACCUACCCCACCCCACCCCACCGCCGCCGGUCACUCCCCCGGGUGACCUUGCCCAAUCGGGCUGGAUUUCGGGCGGGUUGGCGGGCAUAUGCUCGCGGCGACAACCACAGACAGACGUCGGCCCCCGGCCGGGACGGCAAUCCCGAUCGAGGGCCUGACCAUCAAGGAAGUACGGAGCUUCCCG